AUUGAACGCUGGCGGCAGGCCUAACACAUGCAAGUCGAGCGGAUGACGGGAGCUUGCUCCUUGAUUCAGCGGCGGACGGGUGAGUAAUGCCUAGGAAUCUGCCUGGUAGUGGGGGACAACGGUUCGAAAGGAACGCUAAUACCGCAUACGUCCUACGGGAGAAAGCAGGGGACCUUCGGGCCUUGCGCUAUCAGGUGAGCCUAGGUCGGAUUAGCUAGUAGGUGAGGUAAUGGCUCACCUAGGCGACGAUCCGUAACUGGUCUGAGAGGAUGAUCAGUCACACUGGAACUGAGACACGGUCCAGACUCCUACGGGAGGCAGCAGUGGGGAAUAUUGGACAAUGGGCGAAAGCCUGAUCCAGCCAUGCCGCGUGUGUGAAGAAGGUCUUCGGAUUGUAAAGCACUUUAAGUUGGGAGGAAGGGCAGUAAGUUAAUACCUUGCUGUUUUGACGUUACCGACAGAAUAAGCACCGGCUAACUCUGUGCCAGCCGCCGCCGUAACAC
rnacentral:rRNA from 1 species